rnacentral:sRNA from 10 species
AGCCGCACAUGUGCGAUUGGGAAACUCAUUCAGUUUAUUUUAUUUCCGAGACAAAGCUCUUGUCGUCAAUGGCGAGCCGAAACCUUCGAGGGCAUGCUUCACAACGGCGGUAUUAACAAGGAUGGCAAAGAACUCAAUUCCUGUCAUAACGAGUUUGUCCUAUUCUACGUGCGGUUUCUUUA